AGGCAGGGUGUCACUCCAUUGCCCAGGGCUGGAGUAUAGUGGCAUGAUCACAGCUCACUGCAGCUUUAACUUCCUGAGCUCAAGGGAUUUUCGUCCUUCAGCUUCCCAAAUAGCUGGAACUGCAGGUUCUCUUAGAAGCACAAGAUAUGGCAGUGAGAGACCAUAACGUGGAAUUCAGGUCCAAUUUAUAUAUAGCUGAGUCCACCUCAGGACGAGGCCAGUGCCUGAAACGCAUCCGCUACCAUGGCAGAGGUCGCUUUGGGAUCAUGGAGAAGGUUUAUUGCCAUUAUUUUGUGAAGUUGGUGGAAGGGCCCCCACCUCCACCUGAGCCACCAAAGACGGCAGUUGCCCAUGCCAAAGAGUAUAUUCAGCAGCUUCGCAGCCGGACCAUCGUUCACACUCUAUGAUGAGGAGAUUCAGACUCCACAGUGUAUAUAUUUUGCCAUUUAUUUUCUAAAAAUAAACAAAAAUUGAAGGCAAA
rnacentral:lncRNA from 10 species